rnacentral:lncRNA from 1 species
GGAGAAUUGAAAGUGAAGAGUUAAUUUCAGCCUGGGGAAACUCUGGUUGCUUUUGUUUGAAUAAAGCUUUUAGAAAGAUCAGAGUGAAAGUGGAGUUUUCUUUUUCACUUCUUUCCACAAUAUAGUGAAGAGAGAGGUAGGAUUAGAGUAAGGGAUCCCUAUGUUCUAUUUCCACCUGUGACAUAUUGGUGAUGUUGGGCUAGUCACCAUUUCCAUGUUUUAGACAAAUCAGUCAGACUAAGUUUCAGAGAAAGUGAUGACCUAUGUUAAUAGAGGGAUUCUUUUUUCCUCACCCAGAAGUUAUCUAUAGCAAUGGUACAAUUUCUACCCUCAAUUUUGGCUCUGUCUCUCCCACAGGAUUGAUUGCCCCAGAUCACAACAACUUCAAUUCAACAGAUAACCAGCUGGCCCUAAACUAUCAAUAACAAAUAACAACAGAGACAAAUAGAUACUGUGUCUCAAAUUAACCUAACAGCAAGUAUGAGUCAUCCAAGCCUAUUGGUAAGACAAAAGUCAAGACAAGUGAUGAUGGCCUGGGAUUCAAUGCAUGACCAUGGUGUCUUCUAUGUUGGACCAACCACUAAGUACUCCACAGAGCCUGCUUCAGCUGUGUCCAUGACCUUUAGAACAAAUUGUUCUUAUCCAUCCAUUUCAGCAAGAGAAGUUAUCACAAGCUUGGAGUAA